GGGGCGGUAACUCAAUUUGGUAGAGUGCCAGCUUUGCAAGCUGGAAGUUGAGGGUUCGAGUCCCUUCCGCUCCA
rnacentral:tRNA from 1 species